ACUCCUACGGGAGGCAGCAGUGGGGAAUAUUGCACAAUGGGCGCAAGCCUGAUGCAGCAACGCCGCGUGAGGGACGACGGCCUUCGGGUUGUAAACCUCUUUUAGUAGGGAAGAAGCGAAAGUGACGGUACCUGCAGAAAAAGCACCGGCUAACUACGUGCCAGCAGCCGCGGUAAUACGUAGGGUGCAAGCGUUAUCCGGAAUUAUUGGGCGUAAAGAGCUCGUAGGCGGUUUGUCGCGUCUGCUGUGAAAACUGGAGGCUCAACCUCCAGCCUGCAGUGGGUACGGGCAGACUAGAGUGCGGUAGGGGAGAUUGGAAUUCCUGGUGUAGCGGUGGAAUGCGCAGAUAUCAGGAGGAACACCGAUGGCGAAGGCAGAUCUCUGGGCCGUAACUGACGCUGAGGAGCGAAAGCAUGGGGAGCGAACAGGAUUAGAUACCCUGGUAGUCCAUGCCGUAAACGUUGGGAACUAGAUGUAGGGACCAUUCCACGGUUUCUGUGUCGCAGCUAACGCAUUAAGUUCCCCGCCUGGGGAGUACGGCCGCAAGGCUAAAACUCAAAGGAAUUGACGGGGGCCCGCACAAGCGGCGGAGCAUGCGGAUUAAUUCGAUGCAACGCGAAGAACCUUACCAAGGCUUGACAUAUACCGGAAAAGGCUAGAAAUAGUCUCCCCGCAAGGUCGGUAUACAGGUGGUGCAUGGUUGUCGUCAGCUCGUGUCGUGAGAUGUUGGGUUAAGUCCCGCAACGAGCGCAACCCUCGUUCUAUGUUGCCAGCACGUAAUGGUGGGAACUCAUAGGAGACUGCCGGGGUCAACUCGGA
rnacentral:rRNA from 1 species